rnacentral:rRNA from 1 species
AGAGUACGAGCUAUAGCUUAAAAACUAAAGAAAAUGGCGGUAUCUAAAUCAAUCAGGGUGACUUGUAGCUUAAUUUGAUAGUCCACAGUUUCUGUACUUUAUUUUGAAAUAUUCAGUUUGUGUACUGCCGUUGUUAUAUAAUUAUUAAAUAACUAUAUAAUAUAUAUAUAUAUAUAUAUAUAUAUAUAUAUAUAUAUAUAUAUAUACAGGUCAAAGUGCAACUUAUAAUAAAGAGUUUAUGAGUUACAUUUAUUUAUUCAUUCUUUUUAAUUACUAAAAUUUUUAAUAAGAAGAACUUGAUAGUAAUUUUAAUGAUUAAU